rnacentral:pre_miRNA from 1 species
CUAAUACUCCCUCCGUUCCGAAUUAUUUGUCUUAGAUUUGUCUAGAUACGGAGGUAUCUAGCACUAAAAUGAGUCUAAAUACAUCCGUAUCUAGACAAAUCCAAGACAAGUAAUUCGGAACGGAGGGAGUAGUAG